rnacentral:rRNA from 1 species
UACGGGGGGGGGCAAGCGUUGUUCGGAAUUACUGGGCGUAAAGGGCGCGUAGGCGGCCUGUUAAGUCGAACGUGAAAUCCCCGGGCUCAACCCGGGGAACUGCGUCCGAUACUGGCAGGCUUGAAUCCGGGAGAGGGAUGCGGAAUUCCAGGUGUAGCGGUGAAAUGCGUAGAUAUCUGGAGGAACACCGGUGGCGAAGGCGGCAUCCUGGACCGGUAUUGACGCUGAGGCGCGAAAGCCAGGGGAGCAAACGGG